CCACAAUAGCGUGCUCAAACUCACACUCACACACACACUCACACACACACGCAUCCCUAUUCACACACACUUACACACACCCCUACUCAGACACACUCACACACACCCCUACUCAGAUACACACACACCCCUACUCACACACACCCCUACUCACACACCACAUUGUCUGCGUUCGGCUCUCCCUUCCCACUCUGCCUACAUCUCCCUUCCAGGAUGCACAGACGACUGCUCUCUCUCUGGGUGACCGGGGCGCUGCUGCUACCCUUGUGCUGGGCAAACAAAGAGGACUAUGAGGAAGAAUAUGAUGACUAUUCUACACAAACACCAGACUAUGACUACACCGCCACCUUCGAUUACACCUAUUUCAGUAACACCACCGGCCAUGAGGACUAUAGUUUGUAUGUAAUUCUAGGAGAGAAGAAGAAUGUGGAGGAGAAGGAUCUUGAGAAUAAGGCUUUAGCGAUUGGCUCCCCAUGCCCAGUGCUACUCCUCGGAUUGGCUGCUCACCAACUCCAUCGAUUACUGUGAAUGAAACCGAGCACUGCAGAACAUACACAGAUAUACAGGACCCUGAAUUGAGCAGAAAGUUACCAAAUAUUCUGGAAUUGGACUGAGGAGAAAGCUACCCAAUAUUCUGGAAUUGAACUGAGGAGAAAGUUACCCAAUAUUCUGGAAUUGAACUGAGGAGAAAGUUACCCAAUAUUCUGGAAUUGGACCUUUUUAAGGAUCAAAUGGACACAGCAUGUGAUUCUCCACCACUGACUUUCUAUACUAUAGUUGGAAAAACCCAUAGUGACUCCUGAAUCCUAACUUAUGAAAGAAGCCCACAACUUUCAUAAACUUUCAUAAACUCAUAAAUUCAUAAACAUCUCCCAUAAUAAUAUUUGCAUUGUAUGCACGUCUCAAGUUGUAAGAUCAAAUCAAAAUCAAAAUCAAAUUUAUUUAUAAAGCCCUUCUUACGCCAGCUGAUAUCACAAAGUGUUGUACAGAAACCCAGCCUAAAACCUCAAACAGCUAGCAAUGCAGGUGUAGAAGCACGGUGGCUAGGAAAAACUCCCUAGAAAGGCCAGAACCUAGGAAGAAACCUAGAGAGGAACCAGACUAUGAGGGGUGGCCACUCCUCUUCUGGCUGUGAUGUGUCCCUUAGUCCCUUAGCACAAAGCCAAUGUCCAUCUUGUUUUGACUUCAUACAAACUAAUAUGCAUAUUAUACAUGUUUAUCUUUUAACACAUCUUUUCCAAGUAUGUUUUGUUUCUGUUUGAUAUUCUGUUAUGAAAUAUAAUGCUUUCUACAA